rnacentral:rRNA from 1 species
CUACGGGGCGCUCCAGUGGGGAAUAUUGCACAAUGGGGGAAACCCUGAUGCAGCAAUGCCGCGUGAGUGAUGACGGCCUUCGGGUUGUAAAGCUCUGUCUUCGGGGACGAUAAUGACGGUACCCGAGGAGGAAGCCACGGCUAACUACGUGCCAGCAGCCGCGGUAAUACGUAGGUGGCAAGCGUUGUCCGGAUUUACUGGGCGUAAAGGGAGCGUAGGCGGACUUUUAAGUGAGAUGUGAAAUACCCGGGCUCAACUUGGGUGCUGCAUUUCAAACUGGAAGUCUAGAGUGCAGGAGAGGAGAAGGGAAUUCCUAGUGUAGCGGUGAAAUGCGUAGAGAUUAGGAAGAACACCAGUGGCGAAGGCGCUUCUCUGGACUGUAACUGACGCUGAGGCUCGAAAGCGUGGGGAGCAAACAGGAUUAGAUACCCCGGUAGUC